rnacentral:rRNA from 1 species
UAGUUAGUUGGUGGGGUAACGGUUUUAGCCAUGUGUAGCUUGUGACUACCUAGGUCAGGUCGGACGGAUCGAUGAGCUAGCUAAUCGGCCAAUCUAAAAGCAUGGCCCCGCAUCGAUCGUGCUCACACAGCGCUAUAUAGAUUGCGCGAGCUAUAGGUAGCUCGAGAUGCAGCAACGCCGCGUGAGCGANNNNAGGCCUUUGGGUCGUAAAGCUCUGUNNCUUGGGGAAGAAACAAAUGACGGUACCAAAGGAGGAACCCCCGGCUAACUACGUGCCACCAGCCGCGGUAAUACGUAGGGGGCAAGCCUUAUCCGGAAUUAUUGGGCGUAAAGUGUACGUAGGUGGUCUCUUAAGCGCAGGGUUUAAGGCAAUGGCUUAACCAUUGUUCGCCUGUGAACUGGGAGACUUGAGUUUAGGAGAUGAGAGUGGAAUUCCUAGUGUAGCGGUGAAAUGCGUAGAUAUUAGGAGGAUCAUCAGUUGCGAUGGCGACUUUCUGGACUAAAACUGACACUGAGGUACGACACGUGGGGAGCAAACAGGAUUAGAUANNCCUGGUAGUCCACGCCGUAAACGAUGAGCACUAGGUGUCCCGGUCGCAAGGCUUCGGUGCCGUAGUUAACGCAUUAAGUAUCCGCCUGGGGAGUACGUUCGCAAGAAUGAAACUCAAAGGAAUUGACGGGGACCCGGAACAAGCAGCGGAGCAUGUGGUAUAAUUCGAAGCAACGCGAAGAACCUUACCAGGACUUGACAUCCUUCUGACAGGACCUUAACCGGGUCUCUCUUCGGGCAGAAGAGACAGGUGGUGCAUGGUUGUCGUC